rnacentral:rRNA from 1 species
GACGAACGCUGGCGGCGUGCUUAACACAUGCCAGUCGAGCGGAAAGGCUCCAGCUUGCUGGAGUACUCGAGUGGCGAACGGGUGAGUAACACGUGGGUAAUCUGCCCUGCACUCUGGGAUAAGCCUGGGAAACUGGGUCUAAUACUGGAUAUGACCUUUCUCCUUAUGGGGUUUGGUGGAAAGUUUUUCGGUGUAGGAUGAGCCCGCGGCCUAUCAGCUUGUUGGUGGGGUGAUGGCCUACCAAGGCGACGACGGGUAGCCGGCCUGAGAGGGUGAUCGGCCACAUUGGGACUGAGAUACGGCCCAGACUCCUACGGGAGGCAGCAGUGGGGAAUAUUGCACAAUGGGCGGAAGCCUGAUGCAGCGACGCCGCGUGAGGGAUGACGGCCUUCGGGUUGUAAACCUCUUUCAGCAGGGACGAAGCGUAAGUGACGGUACCUGCAGAAGAAGCACCGGCUAACUACGUG